UCUUUAUGUUGAACAGAAACUGCUCUGUAAGAGAGAAGUAUUUUGUAGCUAGAUACCUUCAGGCUUGAGCAACUAUUGAAUGUGGAUUCUUAAGUCUCAAGAUUUCUGCUUUUUUUGGAGCCUUUGACAGCAUUCCAUUCGGAAGAAGUUGCUCGAAGACCUAAACGUUGCAUGUGUAAACCACUUCAGUAUCUGCUCUGUUGGUUUUGUUAUUUUUUGUAUAAAAGCUCUUUCCGAUAUCUCCAUUAACUGUCUAACUGGAUAGCAUCCACAGGGUUUCCUAUAGAUUUUAGCUUUCAACGAAAUUCUCUUCAUAACUGUUGUCACCUACUCAUUUUGACAAGUACCCAGGUCCUGAAUUUUGAUGUCACAAUAUUUUAUUUUAGUUUGAUCUCACAAAACAUGACAAACUUAAUUAAAUUUUGUUUACUCCUUAGUGGUUCAACCAUACUUACAGGGAUCCUUUCAGGAAGUUACUUAGGGCAAAGUCAAGAAUAGCCUAUUCUCUUGUAUGCUUCAGAAUGAACUGUUCCAAGAUGCAGUUGUUUAUUACUUUCAGAAUUGUCUUUCCAAUUUAUGUUGUGAUGUGACAUCCAAUUUAUUUAUAUUUGGGAUGAUAUUUUUGUAACCGACCUUGUUCUGGAUUGUCUUUCUCUCUCUGAAGACCAGCAAAUGCUCUCAGCCAUAAGAGUGUUCCUAUAACCGGGCUCAUUCAGUAAUGCAUGUAUGAUCCCAGGCUCUGACAUAUAAGCUAGAUAAAGAACAAAGCUUAUUUAGAAACAUUUCUAAACUGAACAAAGAUAGACCACUUUAGAAUAAAAGUUAUAUGUCAGAUGCACAGAACUAGAACUUUCAUGUACUUGUCUUGUGCCUGUCUACUGGAGGAACCAUGAGGCCAGAGUGCUCUGGUGAAGGCAGUGGGAGGGAUCCCUCUCCUGUCACAUUGAUACUGGACCACAUAUUCAUUGUAGUGCAGAAAGGCAAUACAACAUUGGUGUGACCUUCAAAAUAGUGGGUGUAUAUAGACAUCAACAGAGGCAUCAUUUUUAGCUUAAAGUAAGAGCCAAACUUAAUAUAAUAAACAACCUUUAAUUUAUACUUUGCAUUUUUAUUUUCAAGAAUCAGGUUACAUCUACAAUGGGAACUUACUAUGUAUUCAGCUCAGCUUAUACAGCUCUGAUUUUCUUCACUGGCAUGUUUAUAUUUGUGUCUUUUGGCAUUGACUGAAAAUAUUUAUCUUGUCAUGUUUGAAAAAUGUGAACCUUUAUCUCAAAUGUUCUGAAGCUUACCUUAUGCUUUCUCAAUAGAAACUGGUAUUUGUUUAUUGUACUAAUGCAUUUUUAAAAGGAUUUGUCAUACUAUUCAACUUUUCCUCUUCUUCUAUAGGCCAUAGGAAUGAGAACUUUAAAAUCCUUUUCUGAAAAGAAAUGCAGGAUUACUAAUGAGUGUAUUCAAAACAUAAUGAUACUGGAGCGUUUGCAUUCCUUGCAAGAGAUAAGUUUGUUGCUGUCGAUAAAUUUAUGACAUUAUUUGAAGGUGAUGAAACAAUGUCAAAAACUGAAUGGUGAAAGAAUCACUUUUACUGUAAAGGCAGUAUAAAUUAAAAUAAAAGUCUGUUAUGUAGCUG
ensembl:lncRNA